CGCAGGGCCACUGCUAAUGGACAGGGUGCUGGGAAAUGUAGUUUCUAUUCUGGGCAGAUAAGUGUUUAGCUAAAAGGCAGACGCUCCAUUACUAUAAGAAGGAGGAAUGCUGGGAAGCAACCAGCUGGCUUCCACAGGGAGUGACGGUCCUAUUUGCCUUUUGGAAGGAUCUCUCCUGGAAAGGGUGGAAGAAGGAGUGGAUGGUAAGAGAUCAGAGCCAAGGAAAUGAUCCAAAUGAGAGCUACUGAGGCCUGAACCGAGGCAGAGACAUCUGGGGUGGAGGAAGUGAACAGAGGCUUAUGAGAGAGGUGGAGAUUGAAUGGACCAGGACUUGGUGACCAACUGACUAUACUUCUCAUUUACUAUACUUACCACAGUACUGUGACCAGCGUGUAAUGAGUGUUUAUGAGGGAGAGAAUGUGGGAGGUGAGAGCAGGAGCCAAGGACAAUAGGAGUAAUAAUAAUGGCUUCUGGAACUACCUUGACUGAGGAAUAUCAAUAUUUAAAGAGAAAAGGCCACAAUCUCAACCCAGAUUACUUGGGCCAUGAUAUAAAAAGACUGGUUGAUGAUAUUCCAGUGCCAGAAUCUCAGAGAUCACGGGAAUCCCAGAGGAGGAAACUGGGAUCCAGAGAGGAAAGUGACUUUCCCAAGGACUCCUGCCUGGUGCUGUUUUACUGCAGUGCUCUGCCUCUGCCACACAGAGGGGAAUGGUCACCCUGAGGUAGAGGCACAAUAGGGUAAAGGAUGGCUUUGGGGGAGGAGAAUGAAAGAGAGAGGGAAGUCAAAGGUAACAAUGGCAAAAUUAAAAUCUCCUAAUUUUGUCUUGGGUCAACCCUGUAAUGGCUAGGGGCUAUGUGAACCAGCAUCACAGAUGGUCCCCUGGAGAGCCUAGGCAGCACCAGAGGACAUCACAGAACAGCUUCGAGAACAGUGCCUGGUUUGUGGCAGGGCCUGUUAAAAAGCACUGUGUUACUCAUUUGUGCUGAUCUUAGGUUGCCCUAUUCAUUCAUUCAUUCAUUCAUUCAUUCAAAAAGUAUUUAUUGACCAUCUGCUAUCUGCUAAGUACUGGUUUAGGAGCAUGAGAUAUUUCAGUGAACACAAGUUCCUUGUCCUUAUGAAGUUUAAAAUACAUAGACUUAAUAUAUAAAUUCCAAUGUAUCCUAUAAAGUGAAAGUUAUUGCCAAAGAAGAAAACGUAAAGAGAGGGUAAGACCUGAGAGUGAAAACAGUGCGUGGUGGGAUGGAGGGGUGGGUGGGUUGACAUCUUUACAAGGAGGAUCAGGUCAGCUUCCUUGUGAAGGUUUCUUUCUUUCUUUUUUAAUUUAUUUAUUUAUCCCCCCCCUCUUUUUAAAUUUAAUUUAAUUUAGGGACCCUGGGAUCAUGCCCUGAGCCAAAGGCAGAUGCCCAACUGACUGAACCACCAGAUGCCUCAGAAGAUUUCUUUUGAUCAAAGACUUGAAAGAGGUGAGAUGUGCCAUAUCCAAGUGAGUUAUAUGGACACCUUGAGGAAGCACAGUCCCAGCAAAAUACAUAGCUGAUAUAUUAGAGGUAGACGGAAAUUAUGUCUGCCGUUUACUCUCAAAUAGUUCAGAAAAAAAUAAAUUAUAUGGACACUUAGAUAUAAGUAGAUACACAGUAUGCUUGUGUAUACACCCAUAUAUAAAUAUACAUGUACGCAGAGAAAAAGAAUGAUACAAAUAGUGUUAAAAUGUUAAUAUUUGGGGAAUCUAGGUGAAGGGUAUAUACUUUUUUUUUAGAAAUUCUCUGUAUGAAUUUUCAAAAUAAAAUAUUGUUUUAAAGAAUUUAUAUAUAUAUGUAUAUAUAUAAUUUUAUUUAUUUAAGAGAGAAAGAGAGCAUAAGCAAGGGAAGGGGCAGAGGGAGAGGGAGAAGCAGACUCCCUGCUGAGUAGGGAGACAGAUAGGGGGCUGGAUCCAGGACCCUGAAAUCAUGACCUGAGCCGAACACAGCUGCUUAACCGGCUGAACCACCCAGGUGCCCCAAGGUUUUAUAUUCUUAAAAAAGAAGAAAAGUUUCUAGGCGGAGGGAGCAGCCUGUGGGAAGAGCCUAAGGCAAGAGAAUGCCUGAGGGGCGCCCAGCUGGUUCAGUCAGUGGAGCACGUGACUCUUGAUCUCAGGGUUGUGUGUUCAAGCUUCACACUGGGUAUAGAGAUUACUCAAAAAUAACUUGAUUAUUAAAGAAAAAAAAAAGAGACAGAGAGUGCCUGAAUAUGUGAAGGGAACACUUAAGAGUGUCAGCAAAGAGAGAAAGGGGAUACAUUAGUGGUUUUUACCUGCCUGGACUGCAAUCCUCUUCUUUAGAUAAUGACGACCUAUUUUUCCUUUGGGGAACCACCCUUUUUUCACUGUCUUUCCCUAUUGACCCCAUCUCCCACCUGGGGGAAAGGGGUGGCUCUAGACCCGGGCCCAGCCAAUCAGAGACAGGGCUGAGGAGACAGUCCUGGGGUCCAGGGCUGGUGCUGUUGUGAGAGUCCACCUGAGGAAGAAACAGGUCCUGAGGAAUGCAGAACUGAGAUCUGAAGCAAAGUCUGCAUCUGAACUUUCCCCCUCCAGUGGCUUCCAUACAUGAGGCAAAAAGAACUCUGCCUUUGGCUUGAGCCAAUGUGAGUGGAAUUUUUUCUUACUCGCUACAAAAAAAAAAAAAAAAAAAAAUGUAUUGACUGAUUCAAAGUGUCAGGGACAGCUUCUCUGAGGAAAGGACAUUUACACAGAAACCUGCAGGAUGAGCAGCAGCAGGGCAGGUGAAGAGGUGGGGAAAAUGUUCCAGGCAGAGGGACCAG
rnacentral:lncRNA from 1 species